AUAUUGAAUUCUGUGUGAUGAAUUGAAAAACUGAAUAUAAUAGGUAAACUAGAGAUCAGUAAUUGAAUAUAUAUAUAAACCACAAAGAGAGUAAGUAGGAGAUGAACGAAUAAGAAUAUGGAAGUAUUGUUGAAUUGAUAGUCGUAGAAUGGAUUGUGGAUUGAAUUAAGACGGAAGUAGUAAGCCUUGGUAUUUUGUAGUUAAUAAUUGAUUUCUGAUAGCUCGA
rnacentral:lncRNA from 1 species